CCUACGGGAGGCUGCAGUAGGGAAUAUUGCACAAUGGGGGAAACCCUGAAGCAGCAACGCCGCGUGGAGGAUGAAGGCUUUCGGAUUGUAAACUCCUUUUGUUAGAGAAGAUAAUGAAGGUACCUAACGAAUAAGCAACGGCUAACUCAGUUCCAGCAGCCGCGGUAAUACGGAGGGUGCAAGCGUUACUCGGACUCACUGGGCGUAAAGAGCGCGUAGGAGGGAUAGCAAGUCAGAUGUGAAAUCCUAGGGCUUAACCCUAGAACUGCAUUUGAAAAUGUUAUUCUAGAGUAUGGUAGAGGUAGGUGGAAGUCUUGGUGUAGGGGUGAAAUCCGUAGAGAUCAGGAGGAAUACUCAUUGCGAAGGCGGGCUGCUAGAACAUAACUGACGCUGAGGCGCGAAAGCGUGGGGAGCAAACAGGAUUAGAUACCCGAGUAGUC
rnacentral:rRNA from 1 species